rnacentral:lncRNA from 1 species
CAGCAAUUGCAUAUUUGGGUACCGUUUCAUAAAACUUUCAUGCUUAAAAUGUUUAGGGAGAAAUGGAAGACUGGUGUGUAUUUUUUCUUUAAACUACCAAGACCAGCCAUACACAGUACAGUUUACGUACAUACAGUGAUGUUUAUGUUCCUAAAUUAAUAUUGUUUAUGACCUUCAGAUGCGUUAUGCUCCUCUUCUUUUUAUGCUCAGCUACUAAAAUUUCCCUUUAGUGGUAAAAUUUUAUAUAAAUAUUCAAAACUAAGCGGAUUAAAAUGUGCACAGUAAAGAGAUUAAAUGAUUAAAUCUUUUCAUUAAUGACCAGUGCACCACGAGUGCCCCCGUCGGUCAUUUUGGCCAGCCAAUCACAUACCGCAGUACACUGCACUGGGUUGUGGGUAGUUGAGUGCGGUACGGGUUUGUAUUGCACAGUUUGAAUUGCUGCAUCUGUAGUUAUUAAUGAGAUACUCAAUUGCUAUUAGUCUCAAAACAAAUGACAACCUCAGCUGCGCGUUUGAAACGGAAUGCUACUGUACUCUUGGGGCUUUAAUUUCCUUUGUUUAACAAGACACUACGGACGAACAAGCAAACACAUCGCUAUUGCUAAAUCGUUACAAGAGACUCCAACUAAUGACCAUCAUUGUUUAAGGCAGACACUGCUACAGAUGCAGCCAAUCAAAAGGCGUGAUACAAACCCGUACUGCACACAACUAUUACUGUCAUACCGCGGUACGUGAUUGGCUGGCCAAAAUGACCGACAGGGGCACUCAUGGUGCAUUAGUUGGUAGUGAAAAGAUUUAAUCAUUUAAUCUCUUUACUGUGCAUGUUUUAAUCCACUUAGUAUUUAAUAUUUAUAUGGAAUUUUAUAACUAAAGGGAAAUUUUAGUAGCUGAGAAUAAAAAGAAGAGGAGCAUAAUGCGUCUGAUGAUCAUAAAUUAUUAAUUUAGGACCAUAAACAUAUUAUGUAAACUGUAUAUGGCUGGUAUUGGUAUUUUAAAGAAAAAAUACACACCAGUACUCCACUUUCUUCCUAAACAUUUUCAGCAUCAAAGUCUUACAUGUGGUUAUUUCGGAAAAGUUUUUAUAUGAAAAAAGCCAUGACAUAGACAUAAUGCAUAAGAGGGAUGUAGGAACACUUGCAAAAUUUUAGAUGUACAAAAAAAAUCACAGAAAGGUGUGUAUUACAAAAGAACUUGCAAACAUGAAAUAGAUGUGGCAGAGAGUGAGGGGCUUGAAUAAUUAAAUGCAUUUCUGGCAGGGAGAGUAUGAAGGUUUGAUGGGAAAGAGUCAGAAAAUUAGAACACAUAAAAACAGCAAUUCUUAUAUGAAUUAAUAGCAAACGUGGUU